GUAACUAUAACGGUCCUAAGGUAGCGAAAUUCCUAGUCGGGUAAGUUCCGACCUGCACGAAUGGCGUAACGACUUCCCCACUGUCUCAACUGGAGACCCAGCGAAACUGGAGUGCCCGUGAAGAUACGGGCUACCCGCGGUAGGACGAAAAGACCCCGUGAACCUUUACUGUAGCUUGGCAUUGGAUUUCGGAUAGUAAUGCGUAGGAUAGGUGGGAGUUUUUGAUCCGUGCGUUCCGGCGUACGGGGAGACAUCCUUGAAAUACCACCCUUUGCUAUCUGGAAUUCUAACCUACGAUCAUGAUCUGGUCGGGGGACAAUGUCUGGUGGGCAGUUUGACUGGGGCGGUCGCCUCCUAAAGAGUAACGGAGGCGCACAAAGGUACCCUCAGGCCGAAUGGAAACCGGCCGCAGAGUGUAAACGCAUAAGGGUGCUUGACUGUAAGACAAACAAGUCGAACAGGUGCGAAAGCAGGUGUUAGUGAUCCGGUGGUUCCGUGUGGAAGGGCCAUCGCUCAACGGAUAAAAGGUACUCCGGGGAUAACAGGCNNNNNNNNNNNNNNNNNNNNNUAUCCACCGUGGGCGUAAGAAAUUUGAGUGAAUCUGACUUUAGUACGAGAGGACCGAGUUGGACGAACCUAUGGUGUACCGGUUGUGGCGCCAGCUGCAUCGCCGGGUAGCUAAGUUCGGAAGGGAUAACCGCUGAAAGCAUCUAAGUGGGAAACCCAUCACAAGAUAAGAUUUCUUUUAAGGCACCUUGAAGACUACGAGGUUGAUAGGUCGGAGGUGUAAGUUCAGCAAUGGAUUGAGCUGACCGAUACUAAAUUGCCGUCUGCUUUUUUCU
rnacentral:rRNA from 1 species